GGAGGCGGCUGUGGCGCUGGUGCCCACCCCGGUCUUCAAAACCGCGUGAGGGGCCUGUAAAAGGUCCCUGGAGAGUUCGAUUCCCUCACGCCUCC
rfam:Candidatus Lambdaproteobacteria bacterium RIFOXYD2_FTLL_50_16 rifoxyd2_full_scaffold_560, whole genome shotgun sequence.